UAGUAAAUGUAAUCACACACACACACAGUAGUAAAUGUAAUCACACACACACACAGUAGUAAAUGUACCAGAGCAAGCGGUACCGGAGCCUUAACAGCUUCUACCCCCAAGCCAUAAGACCGCUGAACAAUUAAUCAAAUGGCCACCGGACUAUUUACAUUGACCCCCUUCCAUUUGUUUUGUUUAUUAUCUAUGUAUAGUCACUUCACCCCUAUCUACAUGUACAAAUGACCUCGACUAACCUGUACCCCCGCACACUGACUCGGUACCGAUACCCCCUGUAUAUAAUCAUGUUAUUGUUAUGUUAUUGUGUUACUGUUUAUUAUCUUUUACUUUAGUUUAUUUGGUAAAUAUUUUCUUAACUCUUUCUUGAACUGCACUGCUGGUUAAGGGCUUGUAAGUAAGCAUUUCACGGUAAGGUCUACACUGUUGGUUAAGGGCUUGUAAGUAAGCAUUUCACGGUAAGGUCUACACUGUUGGUUAAGGGCUUGUAAGUAAGCAUUUCACGGUAAGGUCUACACUGUUGGUUAUGGGCUUGUAAGUAAGCAUUUCACGGUAAGGUCUACACUGUUGGUUAAGGGCUUGUAAGUAAGCAUUUCACGGUAAGGUCUACACUGUUGGUUAAGGGCUUGUAAAGUAAGCAUUUCACGGUAAGGUCUACACUGUUGGUUAUGGGCUUGUAAGUAAGCAGUUCACGGUAAGGUCUACACUGUUGGUUAAGGGCUUGUAAGUAAGCAGUUCACGGUAAGGUCUACACUGUUGGUUAAGGGCUUGUAAGUAAGCAGUUCACGGUAAGGUCUACACUGUUGGUUAAGGGCUUGUAAGUAAGCAGUUCACGGUAAGGUCUACACUGUUGGUUAAGGGCUUGUAAGUAAGCAGUUCACGGUAAGGUCUACACUGUUGGUUAAGGGCUUGUAAGUAAGCAGUUCACGGUAAGGUCUACACUGUUGGUUAUGGGCUUGUAGGUAAAGCAUUUCACUGUAAAGUCUACACUUGUUGUAUUAGGCACAUGUGACAAAUAAAGUUGGAUCUGAUGUAAUCACAUAGACACACACACAGUAGUAAAUGUUAUCAGACACAACAUGAAUCUUCCCUGUCACACAUACCGCUUUCUCUCCCUCGCCUUCCUUCAUUUCACUUGUCAUUUCCCAAAGUACUGACAUAUAAACCACG